AGAAAUCAGAAGUAUUUAUUUUUUUUAAAUUCUGGACGAAAUUCUAUCAUAAAAAGAUAAAAAGAAUUCCCCUGUAUAUGAUAAUAAUUGGUAUUUAAUUUGCAGAAGAUCAGAGAAGAUGGGAGGUAUUUUUCGUCUGAGCGAACUAUCAGAAGUGGAGACAACGAUUUUCCAUUUUGCAACAACGAUCGGUGUUCUUCCUCGUAUGUCGUCGCCGACACGGGGAGAACCGUACCGGAGGCGACACUUCCGGGAGAUCAGCUCGUCGCUGGGAGGAAUGGCUGUUCGAGGAGAAGGAAAAAAAGGGCAAAGACCGUGGCGGAGGAAAGAGGUGACCCGGAUUUCUUUGCCUCUUUGCACCAGAGAGAAAACCGUAUCUCAAGGUGGCCCAUCAUUUUCCGCGAGGGGAGCAUUUUGGCACCGCGGUUGCCACCCUCCCCUCCCCUCCCCUCCUUUGUCCAUUGCGAAUGAUCGAUCGAUCAGAAGUUUUAUCACGAUAAGAAUGGUGGAAAGACGAAGGAGAAUAUUACUCUUAUAUACGCGAUAAUCGCACUUGGGAUCACUUUCCGUCGCCCUACUUGUCGUCCAUCACUUUGCAAUGCAAUAUGGAAAAAACGGGGCUACCUAUUCAGCUUAAUUGAAUUCACGCCCUACGAGUGUAACGAGGAGGAGCAAUUAAAAGAUGGAUAAAGUGGCCCUUUGGCAGUGGCAAGCACUCUGAAAAAAAUGUUCAUUUUCCUCGAAGAGAAAAUCAUCCUCGUUACCCUUCGAGAGAUGGACGAAAGAGUGGCCGUAUUCUUCUAAUAAAACGAAUAGAAAUCUCUUCCGACAUCGAUUUAAAUAUCUCCGCGUACGGAGGACCGUUUUCGAAACUUUCGAUGGCCGACGGAGUUGGAAGAAGAAGAAGAAGAUGAAGAAGAAGUCGGUGUUCCGUUUCAAAGGCGAUCGAUUGACCUUCCCACUUUCCUCCACGUUGGACUGCGUUUUCGGCUUUACCUUGCACCUGCGGGAAGGCAAAGGGCAAACGAGAUUGACAGAUUGAUAAAUAGCUCGGAGAAACAAGAGUGAUAUUAAUGAUUAUAUUAAUACGUUCGGGAAGGAAUAAAAACAUAUUUGAAAUUUUAACUAUGCUUAGAAAUUAAUAAUAUAUAUACAUAGAUCUUUUGAAUAAUCUACAUCGAUUUAAAGGGAAAAAGGGUUAUUUGAAUAUUACUCGACACGAAUCCACCAUUUCAUCGAAAACCAUUUUUCAAAAUUUCGUCCGUGUUGAUUACAUUUCAUCUCGCUCGUGCGAGAAGACACGUUGCGUAUGUUCGCUUGCGAUUGAAAAGUUCGCAUUACUCCAUCGGUAAAUUCGUAACGCAGGAUGACGUGAUUGACAGAUUGAUAAAUAGCUCGGAGAAACAAGAGUGAUAUUAAUGAUUACAUUAAUACGUUCGGGAAGGAAUAAAAUUAACAUAUUUGAAAUUUUAACUAUGCCUAGAAAUUAAUAAUAUAUAUAUAUACAUAGAUCUUUUGAAUAAUCCACGUCGAUUUAAAAGAAAAAAGGGUUAUUUGAAUAUUACUCGACACGAAUCCACCAUUUCAUCGAAAACCAUUUUUCAAAAUUUCGUCCGUGUUGAUUACAUUUCAUCUCGCUCGUGCGAGAAGACACGUUGCGUAUGUUCGAUUGAAAAGUUCGCAUUACUCCAUCGGUAAAUUCGUAACGCGGGAUGACGUCAUUGGUGAGCGCGCGCAAAUGCCCCUGUUUCGCGAUACGCAAACGUCCGUUUUCCGCGAUCCGUGCCACGGGGGCACCGCCAUCGUAAAGCCAUUUCGGGGAUCCCGCGACAUAAAUUAUAAAAUCGACCGACGCCAGAUCGUCUGUGCAAUGGCCGGCAUGUAGGACGCCGCGGAAGAAUAUCCCCCUUCGUUUAUUCUGACCGUUGCUUUUAUAUCUUUCAGCUCUCGAUCAUCGACUCGAUCUCCGGACUCCAUGGAAUAAUCGUCGAAAAAAAUUUGUCGAAAUGACUUGUUCCACGCAUCUUUCUUUCCAAGAUGGACGUCGAAAGUAGUAAGUAACAAUAUAAUGAAGAAGAGGAUUGUGGAGGUUGAAAGAGAAGGAUAAAGGAAUGAAUGAGGGAGGGUAGAGGUGCAACAGAUCGGUGUUGUGUGAAAUUCGGGCCACGAGGUUUAUACAAUGUGUACAGUGUGUGUACAAUUUUCGAUUUCCCACGGGAGGCCAGGCAAAUUCAUAACCCAAUCUAUCGAUACAACAUUGGAUGCAAUGUACCUUGUAACUCGGAUAUCCACGAUCAAACGAGGAGGAAUAUAAAACGACCACUGAAAAGGAUAUACACGAGGUGAUAUGUGUUCGCUUAUGGUAGAUGGAACUGUACAUAGAUGAAAAAAAAAGUCUAUGGUAUUGAAAAUGCACGUAUCACCAAUCCGGCGAAUUUGGCAGAAAUCCAGAACUACCGAAAAGAAAGAAAGCCCGCGACACGGCCGAUAAUCAUCGUAAACGUUGUCGAAAUCGUUCCCUUUUGUUGACAAAACUUUGGACGAAUCUCGAGUCCCGAAGUCAAGAAUUGAAUUAAAUAUUUUUUUUAACUGCUUUAUUGUUGGAAUAAUUUGCAAAAAAGAUUUUUUCCAAGAUCAAUUAAUGGUAAUUAAUUUUCAGGUUUAUGCAAAUUUUUGAUGGAAAGAAAAGGAUCUAUUUCGUAUCGAUCGAGUCAAUGAGGAAACAUAAUGGAAAUUGAUGUGAUUGUUCAAAGAGUUUUGGAUAAAUUUGGAAGAUAGUAAGAUGGGAAAAAAUUUUGAAAAUUCUAAGCUUGAAACGAUAUUUUGGAAAUGACCUCGAUGACUUGGAAUGGAAAAGGAAUUCUUGAAAUUGACAAGAAUUUCGGGCCUCCCUAAUCUUCGAUGACCCAAAUAUUUUCCCUUCUCAAUGAUGCAGAAUUGCAGUGAGCGAGUCAGUCAUCAGUGCUCUUUCAUCUACGCUUGUUUCAAAAAAAUUAUGAUAAAAUAAUGAUUAUCGAGGAACUAAAAAAAUCUACAAGAAAAAGAACAAACUAGAUAGAAGAGAGAGCAAAGUUUAAAGGAGAAACCUUUGUGAAAUUUUCUUUGUCAAGUUUCUCAGAGAACUGUAUGUAAAAGUCAGUGGGAAAAAUUGUCACUAUAAUGUCUGAUUUCUGUUUGGUUCUGUCCCGACCUGUCUACCUAACGUACGCUUUUUAACGUUGCCUCUCGAGGUUAGUCUCCACCGAUUGAUCCACGUUCUACUUCCACUUCUCUCUGUUUCAACUUUACUCGGUUGAAUUGGAGUAUUUGAUCGAAAAUGAUGCUCUACGAUUCUUACACAUAUCGAUUGCGAUUCUAGCACACCACAUCUUCCCUGACCUUGUCCCCCAAGUUUCCACAUCGUCGUUUUGUCGUUUGGCACAAUCCACGUCUCUCUGUUCAUCAAUCAGUCGAACGUACUGGGGCGGUCCACUUCGCAGAAUUCGAAACAUACAUACGUAUGUAAAUAUUUUUCCAUAAACUGUUCCAUCUAUCUAGCCAUAUCGUCCAAUUCUCUGUUAUUGUUAUUAUUCCAAAUAACUGAUAUCGAGUGUUGUAAAUCGUGUAAGAAAAAUGAAGAAAAUUGGACGGAUCGCGAAAACGAAAGGGGAGAGAAAGAGAAAAAAAAGGAGAAAAGCAGAGUUCGAUGGCGCACCACGCGACCGCAAUGAUGAUCAUUCCAAGAAUAGGCAUCACCGAUAUCAAUAGAGAAUAGAGAAUUCGAGUGAGAAUUUCCAACAUUUCUGAGUAAAUUUGGAUUCAUUGGGUUUAUUGGAUUAAUGGAGAUACAAUGCAUGUACGUGCGUGUACGCGCGGCAAGAAUUCGCGAGCGGAAAGGAGACAGG